rnacentral:tRNA from 1 species
GUCUCCAAAACCCGAUGUCGUAGGUUCAAAUCCUACAGAGCGUGAUUCUGUUCUUCUUAGCUUAGGUCGAAUUA